AUGUCUAUAAUUAUCUGACUGAAUUAUUCAUUUCUAACAGUAGUUUGUGUCGUUUUGUUCGUUGUCAGUGCUCAUAUUAAAGAGACAGUUUCCGCCUGUACUCAUCUGGCAUUCACCCCUUGACUUUAUCGGCAGCUUUACGGGCUGAUCCCGACAGUACAGUCUGGCCAACAUGAACUCAGCCAGUGAGGAAUACUCGUGUUUUGGCAGUGACCAGUGUACAGGCAUCUGAAGGACAGCUUUCAUGCCACUCAGCAGUUCAACACACCUGUUCACCCGCAUCUCUGAUCUGCCAGAGUCACAAACCCACAGAGCUCACACACCUCUAUCAGAGUAGGGACGUGUAUUCACACCGCAGCAGCCCAGCCUUAUUCUGAGGAGACCCCCCUGACUCCAGCUGAAGCCCGAGCCAUUUGGCAGGAACUAAAGGCCCUAAUGGCCCCUGUGCUCUCCAUUCCUGCACUGAAGCACUUUUAUUGGUCUGACCUAGAGCUACAAUCAGUGCCUGGUCCAGUUUCCCAGCGGGUCGGCCGGACCGCUGACACAGCCCUUGUCUCGAGUCCUGAGUCCUCUGUUCAGCUGGGUGCUUUUUUCUGUCGCCUGGCCUGAACCCUAAGGACCGCAAACCCUCACUUUUUGAGGGAACUCGGUGGGCCAUCUGUCCUGGGGGUCCAGGGAGAGGGAGGACUAGGAGGAAGCCUCAGACUCAGCCUGUGUCCCAGCUGCAGUCCCCAGGACCCUUGCUUUUUGGGGAACCCGGUAGGCUCUCUGUCCUGGGGGUCCAGAGAGAGGGAGGACCAGGAGACAGCCUCGGACUCAGCCUGUGUCACAGCUGCAGUCUCCAGAGUCCUCGUCUCAUCUGGACCUCCAGCAGCUGCAGCUGCCGCCGCCUCCAGGCCCUAAGCCAGGUCCCGAGUCGCAGUUGCUGCCUCCAGCAGAGCCAGUUCCUGUUCCUGUUUCUGAGUGAGUCAGCUGGCUCGCCAAUGCCGUUUCUGAGCCCGUCCCUGUUCCUGGGCCUGAGCGGGUCAGCUGGGCCGCCAACGCCACCUCAGGCCUUGUUCCUGUUUCUGAGUGGGUCGGUCAAACCGCCGACACUGCCUCCGAGCCUGUUCCUGUUCCUGUUCCCGAGUGGCUCACCCAGCGUGCCGACGCCGCCUCCAAGCCAGUUCCUGUUCCUGUUUCCGAACGGGUCGGCUGGACCACCGACGCUGCCUCAGACUUUGUUCCUGUUCCCGAACAAGUCGGAUGGACAGCUAAUGCCGUCCCUGAGUCCACCCCUCAGCGUUGUUACCUAAGCGUCUCUGCUGGGUCUGAGAACCGCAGGUGUGUUGAUGACAGUGUCCCUGCCAGGGUCCCAGAUCUUCAGUGUGCCGAGGACACGCCAACAGGAGCCUCGAUGCCUCGAUGCCGCCUCUGCCCUUCCUCCUGAGGUGUGCACUGACGAUGACGUCAACGCUGCCCCUGUUCCUGUUCCUCCAGAGGGAUUCACCAACAAGGAUGGUGAAGCAAUCCCUCUUAAGCGGGUUCGCUGGCGAGCCGGCGCCGCCUCCGAGCCUGAUCCUGUUCCCGAGCGGGUCGGCUGGCGAGCCAACGCCGUCGCCAUACACUGAGCACAAGUUGGAGGUGGCAUCUUAUGGGACCGAGUCCAGUCAGGAAGCCACCUCGAGAUGGACAGAGAGCAUGCGUCAGAAAAUAUAUUACUAAAGGUCUUUGAGUAUCCAGAAAUGAAGACUAACGGGAGGAUGACUUGUAUAAAACUGCAAGUGGAAGUGGCCAGAGGAUCCUAUCUCUGUUGGCUACACAAACAAGAUACUCCAGAUGAUCACCAACAAUGGGAAACACAUGCUUUACAUUUUCCCUCUUCAAGAACAAAUUGACACUACACCCCUUCUCUAUUAAUAUCGGCUUGAUAGCGACAAACCCAGCAGAGAGACGACAUCAGCACUCUGGCCUUUUCUUGGGACUUGCCACCAGUAAUUCAGAGAUGGCUAUGUCAGCAUGUGGCAAUCCUUCCUUAACCAGAUGUCAUUCUGUGGCCAGACAAUCAGCAGCAGCAUUCUUGAGGACAUGCAUAGACA